rnacentral:rRNA from 1 species
AGUGAACGCUGGCGGUAGGCCUAACACAUGCAAGUCGAACGGCAGCACAGUAAGAGCUUGCUCUUACGGGUGGCGAGUGGCGGACGGGUGAGGAAUACAUCGGAAUCUACUUUUUCGUGGGGGAUAACGUAGGGAAACUUACGCUAAUACCGCAUACGACCUACGGGUGAAAGCAGGGGAUCUUCGCACCUUGCGCGAUUGAAUGAGCCGAUGUCGGAUUAGCUAGUUGGCGGGGUAAAGGCCCACCAAGGCGACGAUCCGUAGCUGGUCUGAGAGGAUGAUCAGCCACACUGGAACUGAGACACGGUCCGGACUCCUACGGGAGGCAGCAGUGGGGAAUAUUGGACAAUGGGCGCAAGCCUGAUCCAGCCAUACCGCGUGGGUGAAGAAGGCCUUCGGGUUGUAAAGCCCUUUUGUUGGGAAAGAAAAGCAGCAGGUUAAUACCCCGCUGUUCUGACGGUACCCAAAGAAUAAGCACCGGCUAACUUCGUG